UACGUAGGGUGCAAGCGUUGUCCGGAAUUAUUGGGCGUAAAGAGCUCGUAGGCGGUUUGUUGCGUCGGCUGUGAAAUCCCGAGGCUCAACCUCGGGUCUGCAGUCGAUACGAGCAAACUAGAGUGUUGCAGGGGAGACUGGAAUUCCUGGUGUAGCGGUGAAAUGCGCAGAUAUCGAGGAGGAACACCGGUGGCGAAGGCGGGUCUCUGGGCAACAACUGACGCUGGAGGAGCGAA
rnacentral:rRNA from 1 species